UACAGAGGUGGCAAGCGUUGUUCGGAAUUACUGGGCGUAAAGGGCGCGUAGGUGGCCUUUUGAGUCGGACGUGAAAUCCCUCAGCUUAACUGGGGAACUGCGUCCGAUACUGGAUGGCUCGAGUUUGGGAGAGGGAUGCGGAAUUCCAGGUGUAGCGGUGAAAUGCUUAGAUAUGACGCAGAACACCAAUUGCGAAGGCAGCUUGCUACACUGUUAUUGACACUGAGGCACGAAAGCGUGGGGAUCAAACAGG
rnacentral:rRNA from 1 species